rnacentral:rRNA from 1 species
GCAUUAUACAGCGAAACUGCGAAUGGCUCAUUAAAUCAGUUAUCGUUUAUUUGAUAGUACCUUACUACUUGGAUAACCGUGGUAAUUCUAGAGCUAAUACAUGCUAAAAACCCCGACUCACGAAGGGGUGUAUUUAUUAGAUUAAAAACCAAUGCCCUUCGGGGCUCUUUGGUGAUUCAUAAUAACUUUUCGAAUCGCAUGGCCUUGCGCCGGCGAUGGUUCAUUCAAAUUUCUGCCCUAUCAACUUUCGAUGGCAGGGUCUUGGCCUGCCAUGGUUACAACGGGUAACGGAGGGUUAGGGCUCGACCCCGGAGAAGGAGCCUGAGAAACGGCUACUACAUCCAAGGAAGGCAGCAGGCGCGCAAAUUACCCAAUCCCGAUUCGGGGAGGUAGUGACAAUAAAUACUGAUACAGGGCUCUUUUGGGUCUUGUAAUUGGAAUGAGUACAAUUUAAAUCCCUUAACGAGGAACAAUUGGAGGGCAAGUCUGGUGCCAGCAGCCGCGGUAAUUCCAGCUCCAAUAGCGUAUAUUAAAGUUGUUGCAGUUAAAAAGCUCGUAGUUGAACCUUGGGCCUGGCUGGCCGGUCCGCCUCACCGCGUGCACUGGUUCGGCCGGGCCUUUCCCUCUGGGGAACCCUAUGGUCUUCACUGAUCGUAGCGGGGAACCAGGACUUUUACUGUGAAAAAAUUAGAGUGUUCAAAGCAGGCCUAUGCUCGAAUACAUUAGCAUGGAAUAAUAAAAUAGGACGUGUGGUUCUAUUUUGUUGGUUUCUAGGACCGCCGUAAUGAUUAAUAGGGACAGUCGGGGGCAUCAGUAUUCAAUUGUCAGAGGUGAAAUUCUUGGAUUUAUUGAAGACUAACUACUGCGAAAGCAUUUGCCAAGGAUGUUUUCAUUAAUCAGGAACGAAAGUUAGGGGAUCGAAGACGAUCAGAUACCGUCGUAGUCUUAACCAUAAACUAUGCCGACUAGGGAUCGGACGGUGUUAGGAGUAUGGUCGCAAGGCUGAAACUUAAGUA